AUUUUCUUUUGGUAGAAACUCAAGUUUUUGUCGACGUCAAAAUGUGGUAUCUAAGAAACAUCUCAACAAAUCCCAGCUACGAACUGAAUACGUUAACAUAGACCUAAAUGGUGAAGUGGAUGAAACUGGUGUUGACAAAAUAACAGAUCGGAACGUUGUAAGUGAAACGAAACCAAGUUACAAAGGGUACAGUAGUGAAUACGACGUGUAUAAUGUAAUCCAGACCACAGACCUAUCAGACAAACCUGCAACAGAAGAUAUGGUGGGCCAAAGUUCAAAUCCCGCAGAAACCUACGCGACGAUUUGCAAACAGCCAGCGGAUAAUGAGAUCAAUGUACCCAGCAGCUCUUCUCGCGUUAUAGGUCCAGUAGGAGAAUCGACGUCAUGUGACGUAUACAGCACACCAAAUAAAGUAAAGAAAAACAAAGACGUUGUAGCUCCGCCCACACAAGUCAACCAGUACUCACACCUGUCACACCUGAGACAGGGUCAAGAUGACCUAAGCAACACCUACGACGGUUAACCUGGAACUGAUAUACCUGUGUUGGCAGACAGAGACGGUUGCUCUUUGAUGUGAUCAUCUUUUAAUAACGACCUUAUUCAAGUGGAAUAUUUUUAACAUAAGAUAUUCCUUUAAAUUAAAUACAAUAUAGAGUCUAGAGUUAAUAAAAAAUAUUGCAGAUUAUGUUAAUAAUCUGCAAAUAAUGAAAUAAUUUGAAAUCAAAAAAGUAAUGUCAAAGAUUUUUUAAAAUUUGAUUGCUUCCCCUACUACAUAUACUUGAAAAAGAGAGAAAACUCCUAGUUGAUGCCGUAAUGAGAGUACUGUACCUUUGCCGCACAGUUUUAAAUACAAAAUUGUAUAGAUUUUCCUUAUAGUUUUCCUUCACUAAUACUUCUGUUAAAGAAAUUCCAGCUACCGAUAUACAUUUUUGCACCGAAUCAUGUGAAAUUGUCUUUGGUGGUGUUUUUUUUUAUAAAACAAAUUGGUGGUAAUUUAAAGAGGAACUCUCUCAGAGACUAUUACUAUGAACAUAGCAAGCAUUAACGACUCAUAUCCUAGUAUGAUGAUUGGCAAACUACUAUUACAUGAUAACAUUGGGUGCCCAGCUUCAUAUAAAAAAAAACAAAAAUAUUCUAAAAAUAAAUACAAACUUACCAACAUUAUUAUGCAUAUGGGAAGCAGUAGGUUUGUUUGUGAAUGGUGUUUUGAUGUGUUUCUCUUC